rnacentral:rRNA from 1 species
GACGAACGCUGGCGGCGUGCCUAAUACAUGCAAGUUGAGCGCUGAAGGUUGGUACUUGUACCAACUGGAUGAGCAGCGAACGGGUGAGUAACGCGUGGGGAAUCUGCCUUUGAGCGGGGGACAACAUUUGGAAACGAAUGCUAAUACCGCAUAAAAACUUUAAACACAAGUUUUAAGUUUGAAAGAUGCAAUUGCAUCACUCAAAGAUGAUCCCGCGUUGUAUUAGCUAGUUGGUGAGGUAAAGGCUCACCAAGGCGAUGAUACAUAGCCGACCUGAGAGGGUGAUCGGCCACAUUGGGACUGCGACACGGCCCAAACUCCUACGGGGGGCAGCAGUAGGGAAUCUUCGGCAAUGGACGGAAGUCUGACCGAGCAACGCCGCGUGAGUGGAGAAGGUUUUCGGAUCGUAAAACUCUGUUGGUAGAGAAGAACGUUGGUGAGAGUGGAAAGCUCAUCAAGUGACGGUAACUACCCAGAAAGGGACGGCUAACUACGUG